rnacentral:miRNA from 1 species
UUGGUGUGUGUGUGUGUGUG